rnacentral:rRNA from 1 species
UAAUACGUAGGUGGCGAGCGUUGUCCGGAAUUACUGGGUGUAAAGGGCGUGCAGGCGGGUCGGCAAGUCAGGUGUGAAAUACUCGGGCUCAACCCGGGGGGGUCAUCUGAAACUGCCGAUCUUGAGUGCUGGAGAGGAUAGUGGAAUUCCCAGUGUAGCGGUAAAAUGCGUAGAGAUUGGGAGGAACACCAGUGGCGAAGGCGGCUAUCUGGACAGCAACUGACGCUGAGGCGCGAAAGCGUGGGGAGCGAACAGG